UUUCAUGCUGAUUUCAUUUCUCAUUUCAUUGAUCAUCCGUGUUACUCCUUUGACAAAUGAUAUUUAUAGUACUUCUGGAUGACAAAGACUUUGAGUUCUGUGUGAAGCUCCAAAAGGAAUACCUAUAAGACUCCUUCAUCAACUUAGUAAGAUUGCAUAUGCCCUUUGUGUUGCACAGGUCCAACGCCUUGCUCCUCUACUCAUAGUGAAAAAAAACUUAGAUUCAAGAUUUAUUUCUGUACUGGAUGAUAGCAGUGAUUAGUGGAUUACUGUCACACGCUGCUGUUGUCAUCCAUAUCUCCUCAAGCGCCUUAGGUUUGUGAUGCGAAAGUUGUUGUACAUAUGUAAAUUGUUCUGUUCUUCUUUCGCCAAAACAUUAAUAAGCCCGCGAUACACUUUGCUUCUUUUUUAUCUAAUGUCUAUUUGUAGACUAAGUGUUUUAUUUAUGAUAGUGGAUUUCUGGCGUACAUGUGAAUAUCUCAUGUAUAUACAAUCAGUACACUCACCUGGACGAGAAUGGUGGCAAGCAGAGCGGGGUUGCGUCUUGUCCUUCUAGCGUCGAAGGUCCGGUGCACCCAUGGGUGUGCCUUUGCUAGUUUCUGACUGUCACAAAGAAGUCAGAGCUGUGGGCGGCGAGGCCACUGCGGCAACGAUGACUAUGAGGACAGUUUUCAGCAAGCGGUGCUCCCCGAAUGUUGCGUUGAACUACGUCUUUGCGUGGCUUGCAACCUUCUCCUAUGAAGCCCGUAUGCAAAAUCAAAACUGUCAUGUCCUUGGUGUUGUGCUCGACUAUUCAUUGUUGCUUUGUGGCUCCGUGCUUCCUCUCCACAGUUAUAUCGUUUUUUGUGAUGUAAUCUUAUUAGUGGUUGGGUCAUCCAUGCGAGCCCCUUCUGAAGUUUGUAGUCUAGGUUAGAUACAUCCGUAUGUAGACAAAUUGAAGACAAAUAAUAUGGAAAGGAGGGAGUAUAUUAUUUGACUCAA